rnacentral:rRNA from 1 species
CCUACGGGAGGCAGCAGUGGGGAAUAUUGCACAAUGGGGGAAACCCUGAUGCAGCGACGCCGCGUGAGCGAUGAAGGAUUUCGGGAUGUAAAGCUAUAGCAGCAGGGAAGAAAAUGACGGUAAAUGACGAAGAAGACCCGGCUAACUACGUGCCAGCAGGCGCGGUAAUACGUAGGGGGCAAGCGUUAGCCGGAUUUCCUGGGUGUCAAGGGGGCGUAGACGGCUGUGCAAGCCAGAUGUGAAAGCCCGGGGCUCAACCCCGGGACUGCAUUUGGAACUGUGUGGCUGGAGUGUCGGAGAGGCAGGCGGAAUUCCUAGUGUAGCGGGGAAAUGCGUAGAUAUUAGGAGGAACACCAGUGGCGAAGGCGGCCUGCUGGACUCUGACUGACGUUGAGGCUCGAAAGCGUGGGGAGCAAACAGGAUUAGAUACCCCUGUAGUC